UCCUUGAUGGUCUGUCUAGCGGUCAUGAUUUCCACUUGUCAUGAUAAUGGCAAUGUGGGGGAGACCGGGGUUCGACUCCCCGUCGAGGAG